rnacentral:tRNA from 1 species
GUUCAUAUAGUUUAAAAAACAUUUUAUUUUCAUUAAAAAAAAGGAACAAAUAAGAGCCUAUGAAUA